rnacentral:rRNA from 1 species
GAUGAACGCUGGCGGCGUGCCUAAUACAUGCAAGUCGAGCGAACGGACGAGAAGCUUGCUUUUCUGAUGUUAGCGGCGGACGGGUGAGUAACACGUGGAUAACCUACCUAUAAGACUGGGAUAACUUCGGGAAACCGGAGCUAAUACCGGAUAAUAUUUUGAACCGCAUGGUUCAAAAGUGAAAGACGGUCUUGCUGUCACUUAUAGAUGGAUCCGCGCUGCAUUAGCUAGUUGGUAAGGUAACGGCUUACCAAGGCAACGAUGCAUAGCCAACCUGAGAGGGUGAUCCGCCACACUGGAACGUAGGCACGGUCCAGAGUCCUACGGAAGGCAGCAGUAGGGAAUCUUCCGCAAUGGGCGAGAGCCUGACGGAGCAACGCCGCGUGAGUGAUGAAGGGCUUCGGAUCGUAAAACUCUGUUAUUAGGGAAGAACAUAUGUGUAAGUAACUGUGCACAUCUUGACGGAACCUAUACAGAAAGCCACGGCUAACUACGU